rnacentral:misc_RNA from 1 species
CUGUCAUAAAUUUGGACUUGUCUCAUCCUCUUCUGGCAAAAGCUAUCCAAGCUUUCAGGUACUUGAGGAUAAGAAUUGGAGGUUCUUUGCAAGACCAAGUGUUGUAUGAUGUAGGAAAUUUGAAUUCUACUUGCCAUCCAUUUAGAAAGAUGAAAGAUGGGUUGUUUGGAUUUUCAAAGGGAUGUUUACACAUGAACCGUUGGGAUGAGCUGAAUCAUUUAUUCAGUAGAACAGGGGCCAUUGUGACAUUUAGCUUAAAUGC